AACGCUUGGAGACAAGAUUACAGGGUAAUAAAUUUAUAUUGACUGGAUGGUUUGAUGAACUUUAAUUGAUUAUGAUUUGUUUUGAUUGAGGUGAUGAUGUCUGAAUUUGUUCAUCCAUUGCUAAGCACCAUAAUAUUGAUUUAUUUGAGUACAAAAAAGGGAAAGGAAAUCCAUCAAAUCUCAUGUUCCAACCACAUAUAAGUUUAAGAUUUUUCAUCAAAUGCUUGGCAUGGCUGCCUAAAAAAUUCUCUUGCUUAGUUGUUAGGUAAUUUUGAAUUAUGAUACAGUUUGAAUUUUCUAUCAAUAAUCUUCUCGUUGGUCAGACUCAUCUUGCAAGACAAUUACAAUUCAAAUAAUGACAAAAUGUAGAAUAUCUUCAGAGAAAAAUACGCUCAAAUUUACUGGAAAACCCAUGGAUAUGGACCUCUUAAGCUUACCUCAACCAUACAUGAAUUGCUUGUUUAUAUUCAU
rnacentral:misc_RNA from 1 species